AUCCAGCUGACGAGUCCUAAAUAGGGCUAAACGCGCGUCAUGGAU
rfam:Schistosoma margrebowiei strain Zambia genome assembly, scaffold: SMRZ_scaffold0000731